rnacentral:sRNA from 1 species
CUGUCAUGGUUUGUAACUAAUUUGUUGAGAAAUGUAACAGACAUCUCUAUGUGGUUUUGAACUAGUUGAUAUCUGUAUUGCAAUGAUAAGAAAAACUUGUAAAAGUAAGCCAAACAUUUACAUGGGUUAUAUAAGUCAUGUCUAUGUAAGAGUCGUUUUUAAACGUUAACGUAAGCUUGCUUGUAAACAGGAAAUUGUCCACAGUGACAACAAGUGUACCAUGUUGCAUUAAGAAAAAAGUUGAUUUUAUGGUGGCUGAAACAAAGGGUUACCAAUUCAAAUGACCGCUUUUGCUGUGUGAAAAUAUUUUUAAUAAAAUUAGUAAACUAAUUUCGUCAA